GAGGAGGAAGCCGCCACUGCCCUGACCGGAGACCCCGGGACCCCCCUGGUCCCUCGCAGCCUUGCCCAGCCGCCGGCUGCCUCCGCAGCAGAAAACCAGGCUUGGCAGCGGCCCAGACAGCAACCACCCACCGGACCCGCUCCUGCCCCGUGCUUGGGGCCCGAAGCCCCAGGAAGCCGUGGGGCCAUGCGGGGACGUCCCCGCGCCGGAAUGGGCAGCGUCUCGCACGGGGACGGGGAACUCGCCCUGCGUCCCGCGGCAGCCCUGGUGCUCGCGGCAGCCUGGGCUCAGUCCUUCCGCGGCAGCUAGCGCCUGGACUUCGCCAUUUCUGCUUCAAACCCUCCAGCAACGGCUGCGCCCGCUUAACGCUUCCCUGCUCCAACUGCUAAGAGCUUCCAAACGUUACGCCGCCAUUUCAGCAGAGCAGCCCAUAUCCAGUUCAGCGGAAGCCGCUUUGGGUCCCCGCGCCGUAGAAGAGGGACAGCGAGCCGCCUGCCGCCUCCCUCCUUGCUUUGGGCGGUGAGCGCGGUAAAGGGACCGCAGCGUCUUCCGUGCCACCAGGGCAGGCGCGGGAGGGGAGCACCUCCGCUCGCCUCCCCUCUCCCGGGGGUCACCGCUGCUCGGACGGGUCACCCCCUUCCCCUGCACAGCCCUCUGCCCGCCCCUCUGCCAGGUCACCUGCUGCUGCCUCCCUUGCCGAGGACCUCUGGCCUCCUUCCGCCCCCGCGGUCCUCUCUCCUUCGCUACCGAGGGGACGACGCCAGCCUCCCGUGGCACUCGCCCUCACCGCUCGCGUUCUCAGUCUUCAGACGAUCACUUCUGCGUGCUUCUCCGAGCGGCUCCUCCGGACGAGGGAAAACACCUCUGCGUAUCUGCAAAGCCACCUCACCGUCCCCCUGCGGCUCUAAGACCUGCAAGGAAAGGACGGGGUCCUCUUUACACCAGUCCUGUCACGCUGCUCUGGCAUUUCCAGCACAGAAAGCACUUUCAAACCCCCGCACGUCUGGGACCGAACUCAGUCUCUGACACAGGAGACCGCCGGCGGAAAACCCACGGCGGGGGGCUGCGUUUGCUCUGCCUCGCCAGCGGCUGGGGCGCGAGCGCAUCUCUAGGCAGCGCGUUGUGAACGGCGCUGGGAGUCUGUGCAGAGGCUGGGGCAAAAACCGGGCGAGCGGGAGGGGAAACGCUGUUCUUCAAAUAGACACCGACCCUCUGCCAGACACAGGUCCCCUCCCCUUCAUCGCUCCACCAGACCCCUGAGUCCCAGGCCACAUCUCCAGCCCUGAGCUCUCCCAGCUCUGCUCUUCUCCCCCCGGGGCAGCUCCAACCUCCUGCGCGCUCCCUAAGCCGGGCUCUAAAGCGUCGGCUCUAGGCACAACAGGCACAUUAGCACCGAGCCCUGCCAGCUGCAGCGGCCAGUGCUGCUGUCUGGGCCUAAGAGGUGGAGACGACGUGCCUCUGUCCAGAAGCAUCCUCACGAUAAAAUCAGAAGAUGCUGUCAACAAGGCGCAGAGCCAGCGGAGCUGAAUAAUUUCCUGCAUUUGGCAGCUCCAGCGUCUGCCAUGAAUAAUAAGGCUGAGCUUGGUGCAAUGUUUUGCUUCGUUCUGAUGGCCCCCCUCUGCCUUGCAUUUGCAAUCGGUCACGUCAUUCUCCAUUUCUCCCUGGCCCUGUGGCACUGCGUGAACUGACAGCACGGCUUCAUGUGCAAGCUGCAUCCUUGGAUGAGUCGUGAGAAGUUGUUAAUUGCAUGCCUUCUAUCCACAGGUACCUGGAAUUAAAUCUCCAGAUGGAAGCAGUGAGCUAACUGCUCAUCGAUUGCUCUGUCAGCAAACGCCGAGAUGGUCCUGAAAUACAAGGUGCUAAAGAGAAGGGAAUGGUUAUCUGUCCAACGGAGAGACAAGACUCUGAGGAAGAAGAAAUCACUACUGACGCAACACGCAGCUGUGCUGAGCACGCGGCGGCUCCUGUGUGCCUGCUCUUUCCCACAGAAGCAGGGGAGCGGCUCUGCAUUUUUACAUUUUUAAUGUAGACAGAAGCCGACGCACAAACUCGAACCCAGGGCCUUGAGCAACCCUUCUGCCAACCCUGCCAGGCUCAGGUGAACUUCAGUGGGGAGAAAACAUAUUUUUGCUCUCCAUUAGACCUCUGCUAAAUUAAAUUACCCUGGAAUCCCUUCUUUUUAAUGAAUUAUAUUUUAAGCAAGCGAAGUAGAAUAAAUGAUCAGGAAAGGAAAUGCAGUACAAAUGACCUGGAAAUUAUGAAGCCAUUUUUAACUCCAGUGCUUUUUAGAAGUCUCGACUUACUUAGGGUGCGGCUAAUGUCAGCCCUUUAAUGCGGGGAAGAAAAAGGGAAAAAAGAGAGAAAAAGGAAAAAAGAACAAUUCGAUAUUAAAUCACUGCCCUUUAUUUUUUCACUCCCUGCUUCCUCCAUUAAGGGAUGUGCAACCGGGUGUGACAUUCAAAUUCUGUGAGUUUGUCAUUUGUAAUUCUUGUCCUUGGAGGAUAAAAUACCCCUGUGCUUGGGGGAGGCUCCACGAGGGAUGUGCACCAAGAACUGGGCGUUGUGCCUCAGCAGCAAGAAGGUCCCCAGCAGCUCUCGGUUCUGAGCUCCUGGAGGCAUGAAACUGAGAGCUGCAUCGACGCCAGGCUGCUCAGGCCUCGCUGACCCUUGGCAGCACGGUCUUUGCCCCCAAAUUCCUGUCGCCAGCAAAGGGAGCUUUGCAGGCUAACGCCACUGUCCCUACUCCGAACUCUGGUCCUCAGCUGGACUUCUUCAGCUCCUGCCUUGCUCUGCCUUCGCCCUCUCGCCGCUGACACUCCACUCCUACAGCCGCUCCGCAGGCUCGUGAGGACAGACAGGGAGGAGAGUCCCUGGGGCCAGAGUGGUGAUGGAGCAGGGCAGAGAGGCUUCCGCCCUGAAAUUGGCUGGCGGAACCGCUCUCGCUCUCCUUCGGCACGAUGCAAGGCCUUUGGGCUCCUGCUGGCGCGGCGCUUUUGGUGCCAGGAGCUGCACGCAGGGCUCCCGUCCCCGGGACCUGGCACGCUGGUGGGGCAGAGCACUCGGACCAAAGCACGGCUGCAUCCUCCGAACCAAGUCGCCCGUCAGUGGCAGACCGAAGCCCAGCAGCGCUCCGGUGCCAGCUGAGCCACCCCGGCUCGUGCUGACCUCCCGGGGGUCUUGCGGGACCAAAUUGGAGCAGCGGCCUGAAAGAUUUAAACAACAAAGCAAAGGGGGUGCGCGCCUGAAGUCUCCCCAUUCCUCUCUAAGCACCCGGCAGGCAUGCCGUGGUACCGAGGAGCAGAUCACCUAGCCAAAGGCGAGAAAAGCCUCUCACACGGAGCAGAGAACCAUCCCAAGCUUUGCCAUGACAGAAAUCACUGGGCAAAACGUUCAGCUCCUCUCUAGCAUCACCGGCAGGUUCCCGGGAAAGCUGCACAGGCUGCGCCAGCCCCGCUCAGGAGGAGAUGACAAAGCGUGAAGAUACCGAGUCAACAAAGUCCAAUUGUUUAGACAGAAAAAGCUAAUGCCAGCAUGGGGGAGGGAGAGCAGCAAAAAUAUUGAUUUCCGUACACAAAAGAGAAAGAUCUUAUGGCUGGCAAUGAUUAAAACAAUGAGCUGAACGCACCAGCUCCCUCUCCAAUCGAUGCAAUGUUGCUCCCAGACUGAAGCACCCCUGGGCGAAGCAAAUGGCUCUGUGCAGCGACGGCACCCCGAUGGGAUGGCUGUGAGCCGGGCGGGAGCAGGAGAGACAUUCCCAGGCGCUGGGGUUGCCACAUGAGGCAGCUCCUCCUUGAACCGGCAGCAGCCCAUUGCCGGGAAGGGAGCGUUCAUUACCCCAGCACUGGGAAGAGCCUUGCUCUGUGCAAGAGGGAGGAAACGAGGGCAGGAAUUCUUUAACAGAGGAUCAGUGCAAGCACUGGAGUCAUCAAACAGAGCAGGAGCCCUGGGCUGCAGGGAUCAAUGUCGAGGGACAAAGCAUCCACAGCCCAUCGCUCUUUAUUUUGACCUUGUUGGCCGUGACCUCAGCGUCCGGCCGCGACCCUGGCGCGGCUGCGCUGGGCGCCGCAGAGCCACAGACCCGCGGUGCCGCUCUGCGAGGCACCGGCUGGCUGCAGGCUCUGCCCUGCGCCCAGGAAGGGGCGCAGCGGAGGGCGAGACCCGCGCAGUCCGGGCCAUGCCUGCACGCUGUGCGGCGCAGCAAGGCCACGUGCACGUGCAAUGAACUGCUCCGUAUGUAGGGAGGUUUGCAGUGCGCUACUGAGCUCCUUCGCCACUGCGCGAGCCCUGCUGCAAGGGGUUACGGCACGUCCCCGACGUCCCCAAGCUGCGCUGGCGGAGCUUCCGCCUCGUGCCCCGCUUUUAGCGCUAUCCCAUUGCAGGCGGAAAGCCAUGCCUGAAGCCGAGCACUGCUUCCACCGGGGCUGAGAUCAGUUUUUCCAGCGCCUCACAAACAGGAGAGAUUUAAGCUGAUGAAUGUCAACACAUGCAGUUGCCAACUUCUAUUAUCCUCGCCUUCGGCUCCUACAACCACAUGGUUUGGGGGAAUCCUGUCUUUCAUCUUUUGAGGAAAAAACAGAACAAUAGUAAGAGACUAAUCUUCAUGUUUAGAGAAGAAAAGCUGAAAAUCUGACAAUUAAAAUUUCCCACACUGGAAGGUAAAUAAAGAGAACCUGAAAUUUUU